rnacentral:rRNA from 1 species
GACGAACGCUGGCGGCGUGCUUAACACAUGCAAGUCGAACGGUAAGGCCCCUUCGGGGGUACACGAGUGGCGAACGGGUGAGUAACACGUGGGUAAUCUGCCCUGCACUUCGGGAUAAGCCUGGGAAACUGGGUCUAAUACCGGAUAUGAACUCCUGCCGCAUGGUGGGGGUUGGAAAGUUUUUCGGUGCAGGAUGAGCCCGCGGCCUAUCAGCUUGUUGGUGGGGUAAUGGCCUACCAAGGCGACGACGGGUAGCCGGCCUGAGAGGGUGAUCGGCCACACUGGGACUGAGACACGGCCCAGACUCCUACGGGAGGCAGCAGUGGGGAAUAUUGCACAAUGGGCGAAAGCCUGAUGCAGCGACGCCGCGUGGGGGAUGACGGUCUUCGGAUUGUAAACCCCUUUCAGUAGGGACGAAGCGCAAGUGACGUACCUGCAGAAG